rnacentral:rRNA from 1 species
GACGAACGCGGCGGCGUGCUUAACACAUGCAAGUCGAACGAAGAGCGAUGGAAGCUUGCUUCCAUCAAUCUUAGUGGCGAACGGGUGAGUAACGCGUAAUCAACCUGCCCUUCAGAGGGGGACAACAGUUGGAAACGACUGCUAAUACCGCAUACGAUCUAACCUUGGCAUCGAGGAUGGAUGAAAGGUGGCCUCUAUUUAUAAGCUAUCACUGAAGGAGGGGAUUGCGUCUGAUUAGCUAGUUGGAGGGGUAACGGCCCACCAAGGCGAUGAUCAGUAGCCGGUCUGAGAGGAUGAACGGCCACAUUGGGACUGAGACACGGCCCAGACUCCUACGGGAGGCAGCAGUGGGGAAUCUUCUGCAAUGGACGAAAGUCUGACGGAGCAACGCCGCGUGAGUGAUGACGGCCUUCGGGUUGUAAAGCUCUGUUAAUCGGGACGAAAGGCCUUCUUGCGAAAUAGUAGAAAGGAAUUGACCGGUACCCGAA